rnacentral:antisense_RNA from 1 species
AGACCAACACCCCUGCUCCUGGCGGCUCCUACCUGGGACUUAGACCCUCAGGUCCCUAAUAUCCCGGAGGUGCUCUCAAUCAGAAAGGUCCUGCUCCGCUUCUCAGUGGAAUGGAACGGAUUUAGAAGCCUGCAGUAGGGGAGUGGGGAGUGGAGAGAAGGAGCCCAGAGUUACAGACAGCGGCGAGAGGCCCCAAAGAGUCCGAAGUUUACAAGACCAGAAAUGCCACGGCCGCGUCCUGGCAGAGAGAAAAGGCUGAAAUGGAGGAGCGGCGCCUUCCUUAUAAGUAUGCACAUUGGCGAGAAUAAACAGAAUUAAGUGCUGCAACCCAAACCAGCAAUUACACUCAAGCUCGUUGGGGCCUAAGCCAGUACCGACCUGGUAGAAAAGCAACCACGAAGCUAGAGAGAGAGCCAGAGGAGGGAAGAGAGCGCCAGACGAAGGUGAAAGCGAACCACGCAGAGAAAUGUAGGCAAGGGAGCAAGGCGGCAGUUCCCGGAACAAACGUGGCAGAGGGCAAGACAGGCACUCACAGACAGAGGUUUAUGUAUUUUUAUUUUUUUAAAAUCUGAUUU